GAACCUUACCAGGUCUUGACUCUGGGUGUAAGCACUAGAGAUAGUGCCCCUCUUCGGAGCACCCAAGACAGGUGGUGCAUGGUUGUCGUCAGCUCGUGUCGUGAGAUGUUGGGUUAAGUCCCGCAACGAGCGCAACCCUUGAUCUUAGUUGCCAGCACUUCGGGUGGGCACUCUAGGAUGACUGCCGGUGACAAACCGGAGGAAGGUGGGGAUGACGUCAAAUCAUCAUGCCCCUUAUGACCUGGGCUACACACGUACUACAAUGGUCGGUACAACGGGAAGCGAAGCCGCGAGGUGGAGCCAAUCCUUAUAAGCCGAUCUCAGUUCGGAUUGCAGGCUGCAACUCGCCUGCAUGAAGUCGGAAUUGCUAGUAAUCGCGGAUCAGCAUGCCGCGGUGAAUACGUUCCCGGGUCUUGUACACACCG
rnacentral:rRNA from 1 species